rnacentral:rRNA from 1 species
GAGUUCUCCCUGACCCUUUAAGGGUCCUGAAGGAACGUUGAAGACGACGACGUUGAUAGGCCGGGUGUGUAAGCGCAGCGAUGCGUUGAGCUAACCGGUACUAAUGAACCGUGAGGCUUAACCUUACAACGCCGAAGGUGUUU